UACGUAGGGAGCAAGCGUUGUCCGGAUUUACUGGGUGUAAAGGGUGCGUAGGCGGCCCUGCAAGUCAGAAGUGAAAUCCAUGGGCUUAACCCGUGAACUGCUUUUGAAACUGUAGGGCUUGAGUGAAGUAGAGGCAGGCGGAAUUCCCGGUGUAGCGGUGAAAUGCGUAGAGAUCGGGAGGAGCACCAGUGGCGAAGGCGGCCUGCUGGGCUUUAACUGACGCUGAAGCACGAAAGCGUGGGUAGCAAACAGG
rnacentral:rRNA from 1 species